rnacentral:lncRNA from 1 species
CUUUCCUCCCUUCCUUCCUUUUUGGUUUUUUAUCGAGACAGGGUUUCUCUGUGUAGCUCUGGCUGUCCGGGAACUCACCAUGUAGACCAGGCUGGCCUCAAACUCAGAUCCACCUGCCUCUGUCUCCCAAGUCCUGGGAUUAGAGGUAUAUGCCACCACCGCUUUUAUCCCCCCAGACCCUUUCUAGCUGUGUGACCACGGGCAAAUGACGGAACCUCUGCCUCCACAACCAUUGUGUCUAAGCACCCAGGAGGCUGAGAUUGCUCCAAGUUUGAGGGAAUCCUGUGGUGGUGGUGGGGGGGAGGGAGGGAGUCCAAAGGCUAGGGCAAGCAGGAUCUAUGAAGCACAGGGCUGUUGUGAAGAUCCAAUAUUUUAACAUUAACACGUGGAAGGCUCCUCCUGGCACCUUGCAAGCACUCAGUAUAUGGUAAUGCCUUCUAUUAAUUGGUAGUAUCUAUUCCAGUAGCAGAAAUAGGGAAGCCAAGAAAACUGGGGAGGAGCUCGAUGCUGCAGGAGAGGGAAUAUUCUUUGAAUGCAAAGAGAGGAAAAUCCACUAGCCUAGGACAAGUUAGUUAACAGCAAGAAUGCCUGCAUUCCUAGAAGGCAGCUAGCUCAAGGCCAUUGGGAUACAUGCAUUGACCUGGGCAGACCUGGGUUCUGAUCUCUGCUAGGAUCCAUGCUUUCUCCACAUUUAAAAUGGGGUCUGAACCUCGGCCUGGGGAUCUCUGGGUGAACCAAAACACCCACCAGCAGUGUGCAUUCCACCGCUGUGCUGUGUGUGUGUGUGUGUGUGUGUGUGUGUGUGCAUCAAUGAUGACAUCACACGCCUGGGCAGACCUAGAUUGCUGUCCUUCUGAACACUGGACAGGCAGGUGGGCGGGCGGGCAGGCAGGCAUGUUCUUGCACCGCCCUUACAGUGUGUUUUCCAUUCCUGCUGUCUUUUUGAACUCCUCAACCUCCGGAGUUCACGUCUGUGUUCUCAGACACAGCAGCCCCACUGAGCUUUUGCAGUCAGUGGGAGAAAGGCCUCUGUUUUGCCCAUCAUCCCUUGCCCCCACCGUUCUGGCUCCACGCCCAGUCCUCAUCUUCUUUAUCACACCACACUGAAAAGCUAAGGAGCUCUGGGGGAGAGGAUGUCCCCGCAAGGCCCAGGGCCUUUAUCCGGUCUGCCUGGCUGGCUCUCGGCACCCACAGGUGAAAGGUGGGUGUCUCCAUGCCACCUCUACAUGGAACUAGGUAUUUUUAGUAUCCAGCUCUUGAGUGUUCUUGGACAAGAUCCAACAGUCAAUGCCCCUCCAUUUAAUCUAAGCUCCAGAAGAACUAAAGGCAUAGCAACCAGGGACUGCACGCAGAACCUAGGCGAGGGACUCAGCCAGCAAGGAGGAAGAUGGGCAGUGUGAGCAUGCAGGAAGUAGACAGCAAUGCUGAGCAAGCGCUAUGGAAGAGGUCAGGGCAGGGAUGGAUGGACGGACGGAAGGACGGAAGGAUGGCGUGGUGAGGAAACAGUUAGUGGCUCUGCUUGCUCCAUGAGGACCUUAGUGGCAGCUGCUGCGGCUGGGGUAUCCUAAGCCCUUCCACCUCUUAACUCAUCAGAGCCUUGUCACAGCUUAGAUGGAGACACCUAUUCUCUCCAUGGGACAAAUGAGAACACUGAUGCUCAGAGAGAUCUAGGAAAUUAAUUCCAGGUGCCCAAAGCAAGCCUGCAGUAGACGACUGGUCUGAUAGCCAGGAGAAAAAUUCCAACCACUGUGCGAGAGGUUUCCCCAGGAGUUGUACCCUGAAAAUGGAGGAAGGUGCAGGGUAGAGUUAUGGUAACAGGAAGCUUCUUUAGGGGUGCUCUCUGGGCUAUUUGAGGGACCUAGCAGGAGGUGUGGGGUUACUAUUCAAUAGAUUCUGCCAGGCAUAGUGGUUGACAUCUAUAAUCCCAGAAAUUGGGAACCUGAGGCAGGAUUCAAGGCUAGCCUUGUCUACAUAGUGGCUUUGAGGCCAGCCUGGGAUGCAUGAGACUCUGUCUCAAAAAGCAACAAAUCCCCAAGAUUCUUCAUCUGCCUUGGGGCAGCCUUCCUCAGAAGUUAAUGACACUGCCCCCUCCCCCAUCCCAUUCCGGUUUCUAUCUUCAUAUGGUCACCUCCGGCCCACAGUCCAGCUAUAUUCUUCUCACCAGUUAGUGACACCAACCUAUUAGGAACUACUAUGCCGUGCGUUUUAUUACCAUCCAGGACGCUAAGGGAGCCAGGACCAAAGUGGCCUGCUUUCUUUGACACUAUGUUCUUGCACCUACCAUAGUGCGUAUGUGGACAAGCUAUUUGUCGCUAUGUUGAGAUUAAGCAACACCAACUCUCUGUCCUCCUCCAGGAGAACCGAGAAGAGACCGUGAGGGAAAUCAGAGAAUGUGUUACAGUGAAUGAAAAGGAAAGCUCAGCUAGGUGUCAAGGCACAUGCACCUCGGAGGUAAGAGGUGGGAAGACCAGGAGUUCGAGACUAGGCUCGGCUGCACAGCAAGCAAGGUUCAGCCUGGACUUUCUAGCACUCUGUCAUAGAGUGCUAGAAAAAUAAAAUAAAAAAUAAAAAACAAAUUAAAAUACAAGAAAAUGAAAACAGCAUGCCGAUGCUGAGAAGAUGCAGCUAAUAAAGCAGUACCCAGAGGGAAAUCUAUCGCGGCAGAUGUUUAUAUUGGUAAGUAUUUGCCAAAUGAUAAAUAAGGGGCUAGGAAGAAUGCUCAGUGGGUGCUUACUGAAUAGCCCUGACAAGCUGCGUUCAAUCCCCUAAAGACACGUUUAUUUAGGGAGGAGCGGUGCUCAUGUGUAAUCCAAGCACUCUCUUACCAAGAUGGCAGACAGAGGAAGAACUGCUGAGAAACUCAAGGAUUAGGCCAGUGCAUGCCUCAGAGAGGAGGAAGGUGAGAAGCGACUACCCAAAAGUGGCCCUCUGACUUUCACAUGCACAUGCUAGCAAGCGCGCACCCAUGCUCACACACACACACAGUCAAACACAUGAGAGUCAGCUGACUAGAACCUCCUUAGAGAGGGGGCAUUUAGCAGAGAUGGAGCUCAUAGGUCUCCCAGAAAAGCAAUUCCGUGAUCGGCAGUAUCCUGCAAGCAGUAAAGUAAGGUGCCUUACCACAAUGAAGGGGUCACUAAAGAGGGACGGAAUUUAUUAUCCUGAUUGGGAAUGAGGCAUUUCCUCCUUUCAGUGGACGGAACGGUUUGUUUUUAUUUAAAUGUUAUUUACUCUGUAUAUGCUAAAGAGUGAGUGAGGGUGUGUGUGGCAUUCAGAGGACAACUCUGGGGUUGUUAAGUAGGUUUCGGGGAUUGAACUCAGUCACCAGGCUUGCCUGGCAAACACUUUACCUACUGAGCCAUCUCACCAGUCCUAUGCUUUAAGUCUUAAAUGGCUCCCUCUUCUUAAAAUAUUUAUUUUGUGUGUGUGUUCUCCCUGCAUGUCGUCUGUCUGUGCACUGCCUACAUGCCUAAGCGGAAGCCAGAAAAGGGUGUCAGAUGCCCUGGAUUUGGGUUACAGGUGGUGUGGGCCACCAUGUGGGCGCUGGGUUCUCUGCAAGAGCAGCAAGCACUCCUAAUUGUGGACCCGUCUCUCCAGCCCCAGGCGGCCUCUUUUCUGAGGUGGUGUUGUCCAGGAAGAGUUUAUGAAACUAUAAUGGAAGAGACUCCCCCAUGGCAUGCACCAAACAGAGUUCCACAUAAACACAGCAAGUUUUACCAGGGGUGAGGAGAUGGUCCAGCGGACAGAGCACUUGCCAUGCAAAACUGAAGAGCAGAGCUCGGAUCCCCGGAACCCAUGUGAAAGUUAGGUGGGUAAAACAGCUAGCUCUCUGCCAUCCGGCACCUAAGAAGGCAGAGAUGAGGGAUCCUCACAGCAAGCUGGUUAGCUACGCUAGGCCGACUUGUGUGCCUCAGAUCUAGUGGGAGUCAGAGCGGGAGCUAUGGAACACAGCCACUGUCAACCUCUGGCCCCUACACAAGCAUGCGCAUGCAUACAUCACACAGGGGGGAAAGGGUUAACAGGCCAUAUCUAUUACUCGACUCUUCUAAGUCCUCCUCCCAACCAUGAGAAUGGAUGGCAGAACUGCUGAACCAGAAACCUGGGGGCGCAGCCGGGCAGUGGCGGUGUCCACCUUUAUUCCCAGCACUCAGAGGGCAAAGCAGAGGGACUUCUGAGUUCAAGGCCAGCCUAGCCUACAGAGUGAGCUCCAAGACAGCCAGGAUGACACAGAAAGAGGUUGUCUCAAAAACAAAAACACCCCCCUGAAAAAAAAAAACCACACUGAGGCAGAGACUGGAGGGGGGUCGCUAAGGUAAGUGUUGAAGAAAAUGGCAGGGUUGCAGACUCCACACUCUUCCCUUCUGGCAUUUUACUUUUCAAGGGCCCAUAUACUACUGUAUGCUGGAGAGGGGACCUAUCCCAUCCUCUCCCCACCCCGUCUCUCAGUUUGACCCAAGUCCAGACCAGCCACUGGAGUUCACUGAAUUCUAGAGUCCAGGGCUUGUCUCUUUACAUGGCGUGUCCCACUCGAGAGUCCCGACUCCCUCAGAAGUAUUGCCAUCCCACUUAGCCAAGCUACGGGCCUCCUGCCGAAACCCUCGUGACCCUGCCUCAGUAAGAUCCAGAGUCCUUCCAGCGACCCACACAGGCCCCCACGAGCUUGCAGCCGUUCUUCCAAUGUGCUGGCUCUCUCUAUUCCUGCUUUUCAGGACUGUAGCUUCUGCAGGCGAAAUUAACGCCCCCCACUCUCCUCCCUCACCUCCUUCCUGUCUCUGUUCAAUUGUUCCCUUCUCAAUGGGGCUCUGAGUGGCCAAUGCCACCUGUCCCCCCGACCUCACUGCCCAGCUAGCUUCAUUUCCCGCUAGAUCAUUCCCGGGCGUCGAAUGCACCCCAUGAGUUCUGCUGUCCUGACCGUGUUUCUACUGGUCUCCCAUGCCCAGGUCCCCCUUUUCCGUUUUCACACGUGUGGUCAGUCACACAUGGGUGCAUGUGCACCGAGACCUGAUGCUAGGAGUGAUCCUCCAUCCCUCUUCCAUGUUAUUCACCGAGCAGGGUGUCUCACUCAAACUCGGAGCUCACAGAUCUGGCCAGACUGUUCUGGGGAUGCUAUUUCUGCCUUCAGAGACCAGAACUCCAGGUGGACCUCCCAAUUCACUGGCUUUCAGAUGGGUUCUGGGAGUCUGACGUGACCCUCAGGCUUUUAAGGCGAGUCCUUUGACCACUAAGCCAUCCAUCGCCACAGCCUCAGAAACAAGACUUUGUUCUUAACUCUGUCCUCAGGACCUAGGACAGUACCUAGCUUGCUAAUGGCUUUAAAAAAAAAAAAAAAAAAAACCAUUUUGUGACAUUUACAUAUUGUGUGUGAGUAAGUGUAGAGGUCAGAGGACAAGUUACAGAAGUCAGUCCUCUCCUGCCUUUGGGGACUGACCUCAGGUCAUUAGGCUUGGGAGCAAGAGGUUUUUUUUUUCUCUAUCUGCUGAGCCAUCUCACUGGCCACUUGAUAAGUACUACUGAGUAAGCUAAGGAACAAGGCUAGGCAAACAGGGUGAGGAAAGACCAGUCUAGGAAAAUCCACAGCUCAUACUCUUAAUCAUUCCACCUGCUAGGUAAGGAAGCUGUCAGAGUAGUUCCAUGGUGGGCCACAGCAGUCUAGGACCAAACUUUCUGUUCUGUGGCUUACCUGGGGAGCAAGAUGGCGUGACAUAGCCCACACGUGGUCUUAGUAAUAGCCCGGCCCCUGUAACUCUGUCCUCAUAUGUAUUUUGAUUUUGUGUGUGGUUUAUGUUUGCGUGUGAGGGUGUGGAGGCCGGGGCCAAUGUAGUGUGGCCUCCUCAACUGCCUUCCUCUUUCUUUCCUUCCUUCUUUGAGGAAGCUUUAGCUUUCAGUUAAAUCUGAAGCUAGCCAGUGAGCUCCAGGAAUCCUCCUAUUGCCAUCUCCCCAGUGCUGAGAUUACAGGUGUGUGCCACUAUGCCCAACUCUUUUUUUUUUUUUUUUUUUUUAAAUGUAAAUACUGGGAAUCUGAAUUCAGGACCAAACAGUUUACUGACUGAAUCAUGUCCCCUCGCCCCAAGUAGCCUCACUUCUAAUGUCAGCCUUCUCAACUAGCACAGCCACUCCAUGCGGACAGGAAUCUUUCCCCAUUUUAUUGUCUGUAUUAAGUAGAUGCUCAUUAAACAGGUGUCAAAGUGUUUAUGAGGGGAUAAGGAACAAGUGGACGCUGGAAGACUCUCACAAGCCUGGUAGAACCGUCAAAAGCCAGGCAAUUUAUCCCAAGGCUCUUUGGGGGCAAGACUUCUGUCCUUCAAUUGGGCUCCAAAUUCACGGCUGCUCUUCUACACAUCACUGCUACCCCUGGAAUUCUGCACCAGCUGUUCCCCGGAUCUUUGAAUGGCAUGAUUAAAAAUCUUGUGUUUCAGCCUUCACCCCCGGGAACAGCUCACCAGGCUCUCAGAAAACCCACCGAGCAGCACUGUUUGUUGUUUCUGAUCUGCCUAUCAACUAGGGUGCCAACCCCUGUAAAACGAGGGAGGGUUAGUAGCGUCUCUCCCCCUCACAGCUGCACGCCCUGGGCCGAGGAUGGUGGUCCUGGCUUAGCGAAGCAAUAAGAACCUAUGGGUCUUUUCUAGGAAGUUUGGGACCAUGUCAUGAGACUUGGCUAAAGAUGGGGGGACAAGAGGUGCUGAUGCCCCCCUAAAGGAACACUCUCUGCUAACUUUGCUUUGUUCUGGGACAGCAGAGGCCAGGAUGAGGGGGGUGGGGGAGGUGGGGCGGAAGUGUUCCAUGAGAACCUGAUGCUGACUGGACACAUGUUUCUCCCCUAAAAGGGGGGUGGAGGACUCUGGAGGGGGCUGAUCCACUGGCGGGUGGGUCUGAAGAGGUCUUUUUGGAGGGGUUGCAAGAAAGGGUAGUUUUUGUUUUUUUGUUUUUUUUUUUUAAAUCACUCGGCACAGGCCAGAAUGGAAGGAAAAUAUUUUUUCUUUUGCACCACAAAGAGGGCACUGGGGAUGGGUUCUGUGCGUGUGUGUGUGUGUGUGUGUGUGUGUGUGUGUGUGUGUGUGUGUGUGGUCAGACACAGUUGGGGGGUUAACUCUUAUCACAAAGUACUAAUGCAACACCCCACCCUGGGGACGAUGCUACAGGGGAUGGGGACCCCCUGCAGGCAUUGCAACAUGGAAAACAUUUGGUUUUUCUUUUGCACCCACAAAGGGGGCACUAGGGAUAGGGUGUGUGUGUGUGUGUGUGUAUGUGUGUGUGUGUGGUCAGACACAGUUGGGGGGUUAACUCUUAUCACAAAGUACUAAUGCAACACCCCACCCUGGGGACGAUGCUACAGGGGAUGGGGACCCCCUGCAGGCAUUGCAACAUGGAACAUAUUUGUUCUUUUGCACCCACAAAGGGGGCACUGGGGAUGGGUUCUGUGUGUGUGUGGUCAGACUCAGUUGGGGGAUAACUCUUGCCACAAAGUACUAAUGCAACACCCCCACCCUGGGGACGCUGCUACUGGGGGUUGGGGACCCCCUGCAGGCACUGCACCCCUGACGGCCAUCGGGGGCGGCCCCGGUGGCGGCAGCUGGAGAGCGAGUGAGGCUUGGGGGGCAGGAGGAGCCGCGGGGGGCCCCGGCACUGGAGGGGUGCCCGCGGGCGGGAGCGCGCCGGUGGCGGGCGGGGAGGAGGAGGGCGGUCUCCGUGCGGAGCGGUCAUGUGGGGGGAGCCGUGAUGGGGGGGACCCCGUGCCUCGGGCCCGGCGGCGGAGCACUGGCGUUCCGGGGGCCGCGGCAGGCCAGGGAGACGCCCCCCCGCCCCCGGGGAGCCCGGGUCCCCCGGGGCCGCGCGCCCAGUCACUCACCGGCGCUGGGGUCUCCGCCGGGAGGACGCUGAGGAGGCGGAGGAGGCGCCGCCGCUCCGGGGAGACCCGAGGGCCCAACCGGAAGUGCCGCCCCUUUCUCCCCCCCCACACCACCACUCCCCGCCAGCCCCGCGCCGCCUGCCCGGAAGCGGAAGUCGCGCCGGCUUCCCCCGAAGCGCCGGCGUGGAGGAU